AACGUAGGAGACGAGCGUUAUCCGGAUUUACUGGGCGUAAAGCGUGUGCAGGCGGUUCGGCAAGUUGGAUGUGAAAUCUCCCGGCUCAACUGGGAGGGGUCGUUCAAUACUACCGAACUUGAGGGCAUCAGAGGAAGGUGGAAUUCCGGGUGUAGUGGUGAAAUGCGUAGAUAUCCGGAGGAACACCAGUGGCGAAGGCGGCCUUCUGGGAUGAUCCUGACGCUCAGACACGAAAGCUAGGGGAGCGAACGGG
rnacentral:rRNA from 1 species